rnacentral:rRNA from 1 species
CAAUAGCGUAUAUUAAAGUUGUUGCAGUUAAAAAGCUCGUAGUUGAAUUUCUGGUGGGCGCGCCGGUCUUCCAAGUGUUGUACUGGGCGCAGUCCGCCAUCCUUGUGGAGAGGGCUCGCAUUGAGUUGCGUGUCGGAUCUGCAUCAUUUACUGUGAAAAAAUUAGAGUGUUUAAAGCAGGCUGUCGCUUGAAUACAUUAGCAUGGAAUAAUAAGAUAGGACUUCGGUCUAUUUUGUUGGUUGCGAACCGAGGUAAUGAUUAAUAGGGAUAGUUGGGGGUAUUCAUAUUUAAUUGUCAGAGGUGAAAUUCUUGGAUUUAUGAAAGAUGAACAACUUCGAAAGCAUUUACCAAGGAUGUUUUCAUUA